GAGUAAUGUUCUCAAGAGAGGCUGGAAGUUUGGGAUAUGAGUGGCUGAGUGGAAGUGUUGGAAUUCCUGCAGUGGAGGUAUCUCCUUGGAAACUGAGAUGGAAAAGAGUAAGGAAUGUGGAGCUCUUAACAACAGGCAAUGACAUCUGUGAAGAGCAGAUAUGAGGGCAGUAUGGAGAACAAAGCAGGCCAGGCAGGUGCCCUUGGCUUUCAGUUGCUGUUUCUUACCAGACAAAGAAAAGAUCUCUCACUCCACAAAUGCUGGUUUUGAAGAGUCUCCUGGAAGAAGAGCAUUAUCUGAAGGUCCAGAUUGUCAGCUGGUUCUCCCCCCGCAACAUUUCAGAGGUCGGGACUCGGAGUACUGUGUCCUAGUCACAAAGAGAGGCAGAGACGCAGAGGGGACUGUCGGCUGGUGCAGGCGGAACCAAAAGAUAUUUAAUCAGCAAUUAGAAGCACCUGAGGGUGAGGGAAAUUCUACUCCAGCCUUGAGCUUCAUCGCUCAGCCCACAGCAUAGUAACGACUGACAUGCAGAUUCUCUUCGUCACGCCCCUCCUUUCGUAGCUGAGAAUGACACCUCUUG
rnacentral:lncRNA from 1 species